UACGGAGGGGGCUAGCGUUGUUCGGAAUUACUGGGCGUAAAGCGCACGUAGGCGGCUUUGUAAGUUAGAGGUGAAAGCCCAGGGCUUAACCCUGGAAUUGCCUUUAAGACUGCAUCGCUUGAAUCGUGGAGAGGUGAGUGGAAUUCCGAGUGUAGAGGUGAAAUUCGUAGAUAUUCGGAAGAACACCAGUGGCGAAGGCGACUCACUGGACACGUAUUGACGCUGAGGUGGCGAAAGCGUGGGGAGCAAACAGG
rnacentral:rRNA from 1 species